GAUGAACGCUAGCGAUAGGCUUAACACAUGCAAGUCGAGGGGCAGCAUGGUCUUAGCUUGCUAAGACUGAUGGCGACCGGUGCACGGGUGCGUAACGCGUAUGCAACUUGCCUCACAGAGGGGGAUAACCCGUCGAAAGACGGACUAAUACCGCGUACACUUGGGAUAGGGCAUCCUGACCCAAGGAAAUGAAAUUCGCUGUGAGAUAGGCAUGCGUCCCAUUAGCUAGUUGGUGAGGUAACGGCUCACCAAGGCGACGAUGGGUAGGGGAACUGAGAGGUUGAACCCCCACACUGGUACUGAGACACGGACCAGACUCCUACGGGAGGCAGCAGUGAGGAAUAUUGGUCAAUGGGCGAGAGCCUGAACCAGCCAAGUCGCGUGAAGGAUGACUGUCUUAUGGAUUGUAAACUUCUUUUAUACGGGAAUAACAAGAGCCACGUGUGGCUCCCUGCAUGUACCGUAUGAAUAAGCAUCGGCUAACUCCGUG
rnacentral:rRNA from 1 species